rnacentral:lncRNA from 1 species
ACAAAACUCUCACCCACCUACUGCUUUUAGCUCAAAUUCCAGGAAUUCAGAUGAAGUGAAGUGCUCUCAUGGGGACCAGGCGUGGGUAUGCCAGUCCACUGCCCUGCAAGUCUCAAGGGAAACCAACUGCCCAUCAGCAAGUCACACCUGCCUUGGUGGAGGCAUUGAUUGGAAGGGCCACAGGCUACAUGUCCAGUCCUGAGUGGGAGAAUCGGUGUAGGGAUGUUCUGGGGAUGCUGGCUGUGGCUAGAUCAGGUCCAGCUACAGAAGAAUAAUGAAGACUUCACCUGAGGGCUGGAAAAACAAAACCUCAAGUGUGAGGCAGCCAACCUAUUACCUCGAGGGACUGUCCCGCAGCACAGCAGGGCCAUGGGAACAGCAGCAGACACCCCGGCCUCCUCACUACCUAUCAACUAUGGCCUGAGUAUGAUACACUUAUCCAUGGUUUAAACAGAAUAUAUUGUUUUCAACUUUGAAAAUUAAAAUAUGGAAAUCCAGAUGCAGAAAUGUGAGAAGAGUGGAAGGUCAGGUGACCUUGCCUGUCACGAAUAUGAAGGUCAAGGUUUGUGAAUUG